rnacentral:rRNA from 1 species
AUUGAACGCUGGCGGCAUGCCUAAUACAUGCAAGUCGAGCGAGCGGCGGACGGGUGAGUAAUGUAUGUGAAUCUGCUCGAUAGAGGGGGAAAACUACUGGAAACGGUGGCUAAUACCGAAUACCAUCCGCUGAACCCAUAUGGGAUUAGCUAGUAGGUGGGGUAAAGGCUCACCAAGGCGACGAUCACUAGCUGGUCUGAGAGGAUGAUCAGCCAAACUGGAACUGAGACACGGCCCAGACUCCUACGGGAGGCAGCAGUGGGGAAUAUUGCACAAUGGGCGCAAGCCUGAUGCAGCCAUGCCGCGUGUAUGAAGAAGGCCUUAGGGUUGUAAAGUACUUUCAGCGGGGAGGCGUUACCCGCAGAAGAAGCACCGGCUAACUCCGUGCCAGCAGCCGCGGUAAUAC